rnacentral:rRNA from 1 species
CCUACGGGGUGCAGCAGGCGCGAAAACUUUACAAUGCUGGCAACAGCGAUAAGGGAACCUCGAGUGCCAGGUUACAAAUCUGGCUGUGAGAUGCCUAAAAAGCAUUUCAUAGCAAGGGCCGGGCAAGACCGGUGCCAGCCGCCGCGGUAACACCGGCGGCUCGCGUGGUAACCGUUAUUAUUGGGUCUAAAGGGUCUGUAGCCGGCCGGAUAAGUCUCUUGAGAAAUCUGGCAGCUUAACUGUCAGGCUUUCAGGAGAGACUGUCUGGCUCGAGGCCGGGAGAGGUGAGAGGUACUUCAGGGGUAGGGGUGAAAUCGUGUAAUCCUUGAAGGACCACCAGUGGCGAAGGCGUCUCACCAGAACGGACCUGACGGCAAGGGACGAAAGCUAGGGGCACGAACC